rnacentral:lncRNA from 1 species
CAAAACAAAACGAAUAAAAAUAUAGUGUCCAAUCCGAGUUAUACUGUCCCAAAAUAGAAAAAUACAGAAAUGUAAAUCUUAUUCUAAACUAAUCCUAUACUAAGCUCCAAUGCCUCACCCGAUGCCUCGGGCCUUCAUCACGAACGUCCUCCGAGUAUAAAAUACUUUGGGGUAUUCCCUGGAUAAAAUAAUACAAGAACCUCGGGGCAUUCCCCGGCCAAAUGUGUACAAUUGAAUCAAGUAUGAUAAACUAGAAAAUAUUCAUCACACAUUCAAAUUUUCAACAUUCAACGAUAUUCCUAAAUUCGCCUACCCAAACCUAGCUUUGCCUAUUAAGCUCUCGGCCUUAAAUAUGCUCCUAUCGAGUUCACAAACAUUCCGAAUUAAACAAAACAACAAUAAACAAAAAUUAAAAUAAAUUCACCCUUUUUAUCAAUUUCUCAAUUCCACCCCAAACAACCAAUUUUAAUUCUCAAACGAGAUACCAUUUCACCAAACCAUAAUCAAGGAAAUCAACCAUGAGUCAAAAUAAACACGCAUUAAUUACCAACAAGGACCAAAUAACACGCAAUAUUCAAUCCAACACCAAAUAUAAUAAACAAUGAAAUAAAAAGAGAAAGAGAGUAGAAUUGANN